rnacentral:rRNA from 1 species
AAAAACUCCGGUGGUAUGAGAUGGGCCCGCGUCUGAUUAGCUAGUUGGCGGGGUAACGGCCCACCAAGGCGACGAUCAGUAGCCGACCUGAGAGGGUGACCGGCCACAUUGGGACUGAGACACGGCCCAAACUCCUACGGGAGGCAGCAGUGGGGAAUAUUGCACAAUGGGGGAAACCCUGGUGCAGCGACGCCGCGUGAGCGAUGAAGUAUUUCGGUAUGUAAAGCUCUAUCAGCAGGGAAGAAGAUGACGGUACCUGACUAAGAAGCCCCGGCUAACUACGUGCCAGCAGCCGCGGUAAUACGUAGGGGGCAAGCGUUAUCCGGAUUUACUGGGUGUAAAGGGAGCGUAGACGGCGGUGCAAGCCAGAUGUGAAAGCCCGGGGCUCAACCCCGGGACUGCAUUUGGAACUGUAUGGCUGGAGUGUCGGAGAGGCAGGCGGAAUUCCUAGUGUAGCGGUGAAAUGCGUAGAUAUUAGGAGGAACACCAGUGGCGAAGGCGGCCUGCUGGACGAUGACUGACGUUGAGGCUCGAAAGCGUGGGGAGCAAACAGGAUUAGAUACCCUGGUAGUCCACGCCGUAAACGAUGAGUACUAGGUGUCGGGCAGCAAAGCUGUUCG